CGUGAAAUAGCUGGGUCAAAUGGUGGUUCUGUUUCAAGUUUUCUAAGUAAUCUCCAUAUUGCUUUCCACAUUGGUGACACCAAUUUGCAGUCCUACCAGCAAU
rnacentral:pre_miRNA from 1 species